rnacentral:rRNA from 1 species
AUUGAACGCUGGCGGCAGGCCUAACACAUGCAAGUCGAGCGGAUGAGUGGAGCUUGCUCCAUGAUUCAGCGGCGGACGGGUGAGUAAUGCCUAGGAAUCUGCCUGGUAGUGGGGGACAACGUUUCGAAAGGAACGCUAAUACCGCAUACGUCCUACGGGAGAAAGUGGGGGAUCUUCGGACCUCACGCUAUCAGAUGAGCCUAGGUCGGAUUAGCUAGUUGGUGAGGUAAAGGCUCACCAAGGCGACGAUCCGUAACUGGUCUGAGAGGAUGAUCAGUCACACUGGAACUGAGACACGGUCCAGACUCCUACGGGAGGCAGCAGUGGGGAAUAUUGGACAAUGGGCGAAAGCCUGAUCCAGCCAUGCCGCGUGUGUGAAGAAGGUCUUCGGAUUGUAAAGCACUUUAAGUUGGGAGGAAGGGCAGUAAGUUAAUAUCUUGCUGUUUUGACGUUACCAACAGAAUAAGCACCGGCUAACUUCGUG